AAUACUUUUGUAUUUGAUAACCCCUAUCCCUAACUGAAAAUUUUGAGAAUCGCAUAGAAGGGCACCGAAAUUAAAGAAUCACAAGGAAGGGCACUCCGUUUUCGACUCUUCGCCUCCACGAAUUUCGCUGCACCCAUAAUAUUGCGGGCGAUGAGAGUGGAGAUGCCAGAGACUGGAGACCACCUGGCGUCUGCAGACCCCGCUAAUUGCAUUGUGGGUACGUAGGGCACAAAGGAAAGUUUCCAGGUGAUGAUAUCAGCAUGAUCAAGCACUUAAGUAAGUACAAAUGAUGGCCCCUUUUUGAACAAUCCGCCCCGUGGCUCCUGCCCUGCCCUCCAACCCACGGUUAGUUGGAUAGUACGGAAAAGUUUACAAUUUGUUGAUUCAACGCGGCAUGAAAUCGGCUUGGAACUUUGUACAACUUUAAUUAACCGAUUUCUGCCGGCCCAACGGCGGAAUGGUGGUAAAAGUCAUAGAAAUAAGUUAAAUUACACUUAAGCCGAUUAAAGUUCAGCUCGGUUUCGGCAAAACGA